GAAGAGCAACUGGCAGCCUGGCUAUGAUUUUUGGUGAAUCAUCAGCAAACAUCUCCCAAACUGUCCUCAGCUGUUGUUUCUAUUUACUUCUUGACACCAGAGAGGAGAAAAAAAAGCAGAGUUAAUUGAUGUGUGCCAGUGACUUUGUGGGACGUAUAGUCAGCUCCUGUUUACUGUUCCCCCGUCUAUUUUUAUUUGGGCACCAAGAAAGAAACAUAAGAAAGAAGGGCUUUUAAAACGUCAUUAAGGAUAAAAAUAAAAGUCCAUGUCAUGAAAGAAAUUCUCUGUAUAUGGCCUAGAAUCUCUCCUCAAGCUUCUGCAGUAGUGUGCUGUAAACCCGAGGCCGAGGAAUGACACUCAGCGUCAGCUGCCAUACAAAGUACAGAACGUGUUCCACUUUCAGAAACAACCCGUGGCUGGCCCACGCUCCGAGAACUAAAAGCAGAGUUGUCGUGUGAUCCAGAAUUUCACUCCUUGCGUCCAUCCAAGAGAAAUGAAAAUAUACUGCCACACAGAAAUUUGCAUGCAAAACUCACAGCAACCCUGUCUACUGUACCCAAAAGAGUCUGCUGUUGGGUGAGUGGGCAAACAAAAUGGGUUCACAGAGUAGGCUAAUAGCCUUGAAAAAGAAGAAUUCUCACAAUGCUGAGCCGCAGAUAUACCCCAAUGUGUCGUGUUCAGUUUCUCCCUUGACCAAAGACAUUUGACAGUUCUGGAGACAUUCUCGGUUACUACCAGUAGGGGGAGGAGAUCUUCUGGCCUCUAAAGUACGAUGGCUGCUCAGCCUGUAAGAGGGACAGCCCCUGAAUUAGGAAUCAGCUCCCCCUAUUGUAAGCAGAGCUGGCCUCAGAUCCUACUGUCUGGUCCCAAAGACUACUCAAGCACACCUGGAAAAGCCUGGCUGUGGGGACAGCUCAGAUUUUGAAGUGGGCUGAGUUCUGUACCCCAUAAUUUAAUCCUGUUGGUGGGGAUUAUGGCCUGUUACCACCAUCAACCUGUUAGGGACUGAAUUUUGUGUCCACCAAAAAUUAAUACGUUGAAGCUCGAACUGUAUAGUGACAAUUAGUGGCCUCACGAGAAGAGGAAGGAAGCAAAUCCUCAUGAAGACAGAAGGGGAAGGUGUCAUCUGCAAAUCAGGAGGAGGGGCCUUGCCAGAAACAAAAUCCACUUUCAACUUGGACUUCCAGCCUCCAGGAGCAUGUGAAAAAUAACUGCCUGUCACUUAGAAGCCCAAGCCUGUGCUAUUUGGGGAUGGCUGGCAAGCUGCCUGACUGGCCCUUUCAGCAUGAGGAGUGGCCCCUGCAAGGCUUUAUGUUCCUACGUCACAGUGAAGUGUACAGAACUCAUAUGUCACCACAGUUGGCGGAGGGAAACCUGGACAGAGGGCAUCUGGCUCUCAGGAGGGACCUAGAUUUUGUGGAGACGCUUCUGGGUUCUCAUUCACUUCUAGGAAUCAGGAGUUUCCUCCUGGCAUGUGCUGGCUUCAGGCACAGCCAGUAUGGCUGUGUCAUCCAUGGGAGGGAUUUUGGAAGUCCCGAGGAGACUGGUGUCAAGAAACAUGACUGACAGUCAAAAACCAGCAAAGAUCCAGGUGACCCUCAAGCCUCCCUCUCCUUCAAAGUGUCCAUGUCACCUACAGCUUCUGAUAUUUUGUCUAUGGAGAAGCAUCAACCAAGGCCUCUGUCACACCUCUCUUCUUCCUCAGCAGUGGCAGGCUGCUGUGAUUGGCUAACAUACAGGGAGGCACGCCAUCCUGGUCAGAGAGGGAUUUUCCAGAGACUAGAGGUGGACAAGACUGGAGCCUGGCCUUGGCUGAGGCAGGAGGUGGGCUGAUGGAGUCCAUUCCUCCCCUUGCUACCUGGAAUUCACACAAAUAUUGAAAUCAAGGAGGACAAAAACAUCUUUAGGUAGCUGGGGUCCUGGAGUGUGAGUCCUUUAUCCACUGACUUGUGAAAUAAACAUGUAUUUGGUGAGAA